CCACAAAUUCGCUACACCGUCUAUUAAGUUCUCCACAGAUUAAUGAAUUCAAGCCGGUGGCUUGGAAUUUGCAUCCAGGGAACUCUGCGGACCGAUCCGCGCGUGUGAGGGAGGGGGUGCUUGCGGAACCUGCAGGCUACUGGCUCACGAGACCUGAGGUAGCAGAGCUGGAGAAGAGGCAAACUGGACACUCCCCCACCCCCACUCCCUGCUAGGAAGACCUGCCACCAUGCACACACCCCCACUUUUGCAGAAAGAGGAGUGUCUCUGCAGACUGAGCUCAGUACAGUUGUUCCCCACCCAACGAGCUUCAGCUAUUGUUCCAUACAGAAAUUCAAUAAAAGAACAGUAGCAGCAACACCACCAGCAGGAGAACUUCAGCUUUUAGGCAAUACAGAAAUUCAAUCAAUCAAUCCAGGACAAAUUCUGCUUAAUUCGGUGUAGCAGCCUGUUCUUCAUUUGCAUACUACAAUCAGUGAAAGUCAACAGUACCUAACUUUGGUUUAUUUGUGCUUAUAGUGCUUAGAGAGCCAGUGUGGUGUAGU